ACUAACGCACCAUACGCAUACAACUUACCUCGCUACGGUGACGAAAGCUGCGCUAUGCUGCUAUAUAAGCAAGCACUUCACACCGAACGGGCCCUUUUUCUCCAGCUCGCCAGCGAGGACGGUCGCCCAGCAAUCGGCAGCAAUAGGCAGCGCGAAGCCGAAGGACUAUCAUCACCGCCGGAUACAUCACCGUGCCAGCUUUAACAAGCGUCAACGCCGGGCACGUUAGUUUCACCCGUUUUCAUCACCGCCGUGCCGACUUCAUCAAGCGUCAACGCCGGGCACGCUAAUUUCACCCGUUUUCAUCACCGCCGUGCCGACUUCAUCAAACGUCAACGCCGGGCACGCUUAUUUCACCCGUUUUCAUCACCGCCGUGCCGACUUCAUCAAACGUCAACGCCGGGCACGCUUAGUUUCACCCGUUUUCAUCACCGCCGUGCCGACUUCAUCAAGCGUCAACGCCGGGCACGCUAAUUUCACCCGUUUUCAUCACCGCCGUGCCGACUUCAUCAAGCGUCAACGCCUGACUCAUCAAUCCCGUUUAUUUCCAUCGCGCUGGUCUGGCUGUCCGCAUAAGGAGUGGGGGUGUGGAUAUAACUUUACGAGGAUAAAA